UUGCAACCUCUAGUUGAUGGGAUUGCCGGCCGGCUCCCCACUUGGAAGGCCCACCUGAUGAACAAAACUGGGCGGCUUGCACUAGUCAAGUCCGUGCUGAGCGCCAUCCCCGUGCAUCAACUACUCGCCUACGCGCCGCCGAAGAAGACGCUUCGACAAAUUGAGAAGAUUGAGCGCGGCGCGGACGCCAAUGGUGGCCACCGCCACAUCAACUGGCGCCGUGUUUACCGCCCCAUAUCGCACGGUGGAUUGGGAGUUCAGGAUUUGGAACACGCUGCCCUCGCUCUGUGA
rnacentral:rRNA from 1 species